rnacentral:rRNA from 1 species
AGUGAACGCUGGCGGCAGGCCUAACACAUGCAAGUCGAACGGCAGCACAAGAGAGCUUGCUCUCUGGGUGGCGAGUGGCGGACGGGUGAGGAAUGCAUCGGAAUCUGCCCAUUUAUGGGGGAUAACCUCGGGAAACCGGGACUAAUACCGCAUACGACCUACGGGUGAAAGCAGGGGAUCUUCGGACCUUGCGCAGAUGGAUGAGCCGAUGCCGGAUUAGCUAGUUGGAGGGGUAAAGGCCCACCAAGGCGACGAUCCGUAGCUGGUCUGAGAGGAUGAUCAGCCACACUGGGACUGAGACACGGCCCAGACUCCUACGGGAGGCAGCAGUGGGGAGUAUUGGACAAUGGGCGCAAGCCUGAUCCAGCCAUGCCGCGUGUGUGAAGAAGGCCUUCGGGUUGUAAAGCACUUUUGUUGGGAAAGAAAAGCAGCCGGUUAAUACCCGGUUGUCAUGACGGUACCCAAAGAAUAAGCACCGGCUAACUUCGUG